CGGAGGGUGCAAGCGUUAUCCGGAUUCACUGGGUUUAAAGGGUGCGUAGGUGGGUUGGUAAGUCAGUGGUGAAAUCUCCGUGCUUAACAUGGAAACUGCCAUUGAUACUACUGAUCUUGAAUUUUCUGGAGGUAAGCGGAAUAUGUCAUGUAGCGGUGAAAUGCUUAGAUAUGACAUAGAACACCAAUUGCGAAGGCAGCUUGCUACAGGGAUAUUGACACUGAGGCACGAAAGCGUGGGGAUCAAACAGGAUUAGAUACCCUGGUAGUCCACGCCCUAAACGAUGGAUACUCGACAUUUGCGAUACACAGUAAGUGUCUGAGCGAAAGCAUUAAGUAUCCCACCUGGGAAGUACGACCGCAAGGUUG
rnacentral:rRNA from 1 species